rnacentral:piRNA from 1 species
UGCCAAGGCUGCAAAGGCUGCCAGUUGGA